UCCAGGAGACAAAAGUUAUGUUCCAGCACUCACAGUGGCUCACAGUGGGUGCUGGACCUCCAACUCUAAGAGAUCUAACACCCUCUUCCUAGCUUCAUGUGUACCUACACACAGGUGACAUAUAUUCACACAGACAAACACACAUACACAUGAAUCAAAAUAAAGGUAAAUUUUGUGAUAGAAGAGGUGGCACAAACAUGCCUACGAGGACUUCUGAGGCAGACAGAGGCAGGCAGAUCUCUGAGUGCGAGGAAACAGUGAGUUCUACACAUUGAGUUCUAGGACAGGCAGAGCUGCACAGAGAAACGCUGAUAUUGGGAGGGGAAAAAAAGCCAUCAUAACAUCAAGGAUGAAAGCAAUUGCCACCGAAGUCUGCAGGUGUCUGUUGGUAAUAUCCCCUGGCACUUUGCAGGUGAAUGCUGAGACAGUGCGGUACUCCAUCUGCACAUCCAAGCUCCGAGUGAAGCCUGGCGAUGUGGCUGUUCAUGGUGAGGCUGUGGUGUGUGUCACCCCCAGGGAAAACAGCAAGAGCUCCAUGUAUUAUGUGCUGCAGUUUCUGAAAGAGGACCUACCCAAGGUGGAGAAAACUCUAGGCAUUGAGGCUGCCCGAACAACCAUCAUCAACGAGAUCCAGUACACGAUGCUUCUGUAGCCAUUACAAAGUCAUGGUAAAUAUCCCUGAGUUCCUGUGCUCACCUCAGAUAAGGGAAGCUCCAGGUGGUCAGGGGUCUUGAGAUACACUGUCUGGCAAACAGAGCCAGAGAACAUGUAUGGCAUAUAAAGCAAACUUCUGUAAGAACUAACCAGGACAGAAAGUAAGGUGUCAUCAUCCAAAGGCCCAAGUGUGCUGAUGGGACCAGCUGUCUUGGUAUAUUCUCAAUGUGAGAAUUUCAACACAGCCCAUCAUUGGAGGAAAAAAGCUUGAACAUGGCUUUUGUCCAUGUCCUGAGUCUUAUUCUAUAGCCGAAAGUCCAUUACCAAAACCAGGAUGCCCAUGAUGACUUGGGGUGACAGUUCCCUAACCCAUUCCUAGUGCUGCUUCUGUAGCCAUUACAAAGUCAUGGUAAAUAUCCCUGAGUUCCUGUGCUCACCUCCAGCACCAAAAAAUAAACUACACCAGGUUUGACCAUGGCAGCCCUGAAGGAGAGGGUGUCUGCAAGUAUGUCUUCUCCUGCUCUGACUUUUUUUUAAAAUGCUUAUGGUAUUUCACUGGACCUGCAAUACAGGUUUUAUAUCUAUUUUUGUAUGUACAUGUGGGUGCCCCUCUAUUUGGAAGCCAGAGGUCAACCUUGGAUAUUCUUCCUUAUGAGCCAUUGAUUUAGUUUUCCUAAAUACUAUUAGCAUAUAAUACUUAUGCAUAAUGUGAAUUUCAAUAUGACCUUUCAUGUUAACCAUCUUCUGUGCACUUCGUACUCCCUCUAGCCCUUUCCUCUUCCUUCUAGUCCUUCUAUUUCAUGUCUUUUUUUUUUUUUUUUUUUUUUUUUUUUUUUUUUUUAUGACCCAAUGAAUGUCAUUAGGGCUGCUUACAAGGGCAGGGGAUGAGGGAAAGGUUAUUUACUGGACCAUGGGCAUCUUACCAGUUUGUACACCAUUGAAGAAUAUGUCUGUCCCUGCCCUUAACAACCACUACCUGGCUAUAAAUCAUCAGGUGAGGUUUCCUGAAGCUCACCCACACAUGAUAACAUGCUGACAACACCUGUCAUGUAUGGGUCUUGUGUAUGUUUAGCACAUUGCCUUGACUGGAGAUAUGUAAAAUGUUUCC
ensembl:lincRNA